UUGGACUUUAUUUGCGCAGCAUAGGUGGGAGGCAUUGAGUUUAUUCUUGCGGGAAUUUAGGAGCCAUCAGUGAGAUACCACUCUGGUAAUGUUAGAUUUCUAACUUUGUAUCCUGAUCUGGUCAAAGAACAGUUUCAGGCGGGCAGUUUGACUGGGGCGGUCGCCUCCCAAAUGGUAACGGAGGCGUACAAAGGUUUCCUCUGAACGUGUAGAAAUCGUAUCUAGAGUGUAAAGGCAUAAGGAAGCUUGACUGUGAGACCUACAAGUCGAGCAGGGACGAAAGUCGGUCUUAGUGAUCUGACGGUGCUGAGUGGAAAGGCCGUCACUCAACGGAUAAAAGUUACUCUAGGGAUAACAGGCUGAA
rnacentral:rRNA from 1 species